rnacentral:rRNA from 1 species
UACGUAGGGGGCAAGCGUUGUCCGGCUUUAUUGGGCGUAAAGAGCGUGUAGGCGGCCAGGCAGGUCCGCUGUGAAAACUCGAGGCUCAACCUCGAGAGGUCGGUGGAAACCGUUUGGCUAGAGUCCGGAAGAGGAGAGUGGAAUUCCCGGUGUAGCGGUGAAAUGCGCAGAUAUCGGGAAGAACACCCGUGGCGAAGGCGGCUCUCUGGGACGGUACUGACGCUGAGACGCGAAAGCGUGGGGAGCGAACAGG